CAACAGGGAUUGCCUUAGUAACUGCGAGUGAAGCGGCAAAAGCUCAAAUUUGAAAUCUGACGUUUUUGACGUCCGAGUUGUAAUUUGGAGGGAUAUCUUCGGAGCUGGCGCUGUCCUAAGUUCUUUGGAACCAGACAUCAUAGAGGGUGAGAAUCCCGUGCCUGGGUGGCUGUCCUGCUCCAUGUGAAGUGUCUCCGACGAGUCGAGUUGUUUGGGAAUGCAGCUCAAAAUGGGUGGUAAAUUUCAUCUAAAGCUAAAUAUUGGCGAGAGACCGAUAGCGCACAAGUAGAGUGAUCGAAAGAUGAAAAGCACUUUGAAAAGAGAGUUAAACAGUACGUGAAAUUGUUGAAAGGGAAGCGCUUGAGACCAGAUUCAGCCGGCGGUCAUCAGCUACAUUUCUAUGUGGUGCACUUGCCGUCGGUUGAGCCAGCAUCGGUUUUGAUGGUGGGAUAAAGGUUUCAGGAAUGUGGGUCUUCGAUUUCGAGGAGUGUUAUAGCCUGGAGCGCAAUGCCGCCUGUCGGGACCGAGGACCGCGCUUUUGCUAGGAUGCUGGCUAAAAGGUCU
rnacentral:rRNA from 1 species